UACGUAGGUGGCGAGCGUUGUCCGGAUUUACUGGGCGUAAAGGGAGCGUAGGCGGACUUUUAAGUGAGAUGUGAAAUCCUAUGGCUUAACCAUAGAACUGCAUUUGAAACUGUUAUUCUAGAGUAUGGGAGAGGUAGGUGGAAUUCUUGGUGUAGGGGUAAAAUCCGUAGAGAUCAAGAGGAAUACUCAUUGCGAAGGCGACCUGCUAGAACAUAACUGACGCUGAUGCGCGAAAGCGUGGGGAGCAAACAGG
rnacentral:rRNA from 1 species